ensembl:snRNA U1 U1 spliceosomal RNA
AUACUUCCUGGCAGGAGAAAUACCAUGAUCACAAAGGUAGUUCUCCCACAGCGAGGCUUAUCCAUUGCACUCCAGAUGGGCUGACCCCUGCGAUUUCCUCAAAUGUGGGAAAUGUAAUUGCAUAAUUUGUAGUAGUGGAAGACUG